rnacentral:rRNA from 1 species
UACGUAGGGGGCUAGCGUUGUCCGGAUUUAUUGGGCGUAAAGAGCGUGUAGGCGGCCAGGUAGGUCUGCUGUGAAAACUCGAGGCUCAACCUCGAGACGUCGGCGGAAACCAUCUGGCUAGAGUCCGGAAGAGGAGAGUGGAAUUCCCAGUGUAGCGGUGAAAUGCGUAGAUAUUGGGAGGAACACCAGUGGCGAAGGCGGCUCACUGGACCGGUACUGACGCUGAGGCGCGAAAGCGUGGGGAGCAAACGGG